UACGUAGGCAGCGAGCGUUGUUCGGAGUUACUGGGCGUAAAGGGUGUGUAGGCGGUUGUUUAAGUUUGGUGUGAAAUCUCCCGGCUCAACUGGGAGGGUGCGCCGAAUACUGAAUGACUUGGAGUGCGGGAGAGGUGAGUGGAAUUCCUGGUGUAGCGGUGAAAUGCGUAGAUAUCAGGAGGAACACCGGUGGUGUAGACGGCUCACUGGACCGUAACUGACGCUGAGGCACGAAGGCCAGGGGAGCAAACGGG
rnacentral:rRNA from 1 species